UACGUAGGGGGCUAGCGUUGUUCGGAAUUACUGGGCGUAAAGGGCGCGUAGGCGGCCCGCUAAGUCGAACGUGAAAUCCCCGGGCUCAACCCGGGAACUGCGUCCGAUACUGGUGGGCUUGAAUCCGGGAGAGGGAUGCGGAAUUCCAGGUGUAGCGGUGAAAUGCGUAGAUAUCUGGAGGAACACCGGUGGCGAAGGCGGCAUCCUGGACCGGUAUUGACGCUGAGGCGCGAAAGCCAGGGGAGCAAACGGG
rnacentral:rRNA from 1 species